GCCCUUAUUUUUAUAAAGAAACGCUUUCUCCUUUGUUUCAUCGUUUUGCCGCCGCCGCUGCUUCAUCAUUCUCGCAGGCUUCUCCGCUUCAGGCUCGGACUAUACAGGUAAGUCGGAGCUGAAACAUGGGUCGUGUUCGUACCAAGACUGUGAAGAAAUCUUCUCGUCAGGUCAUCGAGAAGUAUUACUCGAGAAUGACCCUUGAUUUCCACACCAA